AAGGUAGCGAAAUUCCUUGUCGGGUAAGUUCCGACCUGCACGAAUGGCGUAACGAUCUCCACACUGUCUCGGCCAGAGACUCGGUGAAAUUGAAGUCGCGGUGAAAAUGCCGUGUACCCGCAGAAAGACGGAAAGACCCUGUGCACCUUUACUAUAGCUUGACAUUGGGAUUUGAGCCUGCAUGUGUAGCAUAGGUGGGAGCCUGUGAACCCUGUACGCCAGUAUGGGGGGAGGCAACGUUGAAAUACCACCCUUGUUUGUUCAGGUCCCUAACUCUUCGCCGUUACCCGGUAAGAGGACAGUGUCUGGUGGGUAGUUUGACUGGGGCGGUCGCCUCCCAAAAUGUAACGGAGGCAUGCAAAGGUUCCCUCAGGCUGAUUGGAAACCAGCCGUCGAGUGCAAACGCAAAAGGGAGCUUGACUGCAAGAGAGACAUCUCGAGCAGGUACGAAAGUAGGUGUUAGUGAUCCGGUGAUCCCGAAUGGAAGGGUCAUCGCUCAUUGGAUAAAAGGUACGCCGGGGAUAACAGGCUGAUCGCAUCCAAGAGUUCACAUCGACGAUGCGGUUUGGCACCUCGAUGUCGGCUCAUCACAUCCUGGGGCUGAAGCAGGUCCCAAGGGUACGGCUGUUCGCCGUUUAAAGUGGUACGCGAGCUGGGUUUAAAACGUCGUGAGACAGUUUGGUCCCUAUCUUCUGUGGGCGUAGGAGAAUUGAAAGGGCCUGUCCCUAGUACGAGAGGACCGGGAUGGACACACCACUGGUGGACCUGUUGUCGUGCCAACGGCACAGCAGGGUAGCUAUGUGUGGAAGGGAUAACCGCUGAAAGCAUCUAAGCGGGAAGCCUGCCUUAAGAUAAGUUCUCCCUGACGCAAGUCCUGAAGGGCCGAGGUAGACGACCUCGUUGAUAGGCUGGAGGUGGAAGCCCUGUGAGGGGUGGAGCUGACCAGUACUAAUAGCCCGUGCGUCUUGUUUCU
rnacentral:rRNA from 1 species